UACGGGGGGGGUAAGCGUUGUUCGGAAUUACUGGGCGUAAAGGGCUCGUAGGUGGCCAACUAAGUCGGACGUGAAAUCCCUCGGCUUAACCGAGGAACUGCGUCCGAUACUGGUUGGCUUGAGUUUGGGAGAGGGAUGCGGAAUUCCAGGUGUAGCGGUGAAAUGCGUAGAUAUCUGGAGGAACACCGGUGGCGAAGGCGGCAUCCUGGACCAAUACUGACGCUGAGGAGCGAAAGCCAGGGGAGCAAACGGG
rnacentral:rRNA from 1 species